rnacentral:rRNA from 1 species
CCUACGGGAGGCAGCAGUGAGGAAUAUUGGUCAAUGGCCGGAAGGCUGAACCAGCCAUGCCGCGUGAAGGUCAGUGCCCUAUGGGCGUUAAACUUCUUUUGUGCGGGAGCAAUAAUGGUCACGUGUGGCCAGACGAGAGUACCGUACGAAUAAGCAUCGGCUAACUCCGUGCCAGCAGCCGCGGUAAUACGGGGGAUGCAAGCGUUAUCCGGAUUUAUUGGGUUUAAAGGGUGCGUAGGCUGUGGGGUAAGUCAGCGGUGAAAUGCCCCCGCUCAACGGGGUGAAGUGCCAUUGAUACUGCCUUGCUGGAAUGCGGAUGCCGUGGGAGGAAUGUGUGGUGUAGCGGUGACAUGCAUAGAUAUCACACAGAACACCGAUUGCGAAGGCAUCUCACGAAUCCGCGAUUGACGCUGAUGCACGAAAGCGUGGGUAUCAAACAGGAUUAGAUACCCUUGUAGUC